rnacentral:rRNA from 1 species
AUUGAACGCUGGCGGCAGGCUUAACACAUGCAAGUCGAGCGGGGUGAUGGUGCUUGCACUAUCACUUAGCGGCGGACGGGUGAGUAAUGCUUAGGAAUCUGCCUAAUAGUGGGGGACAACAUCUCGAAAGGGAUGCUAAUACCGCAUACGUCCUACGGGAGAAAGCAGGGGAUCACUUGUGACCUUGCGCUAAUAGAUGAGCCUAAGUCGGAUUAGCUAGGUGGGGGGGUAAAGGCCUACCAAGGCGACGAGCGGUAGCGGGUCUGAGAGGCUGAUCCGCCACACUGGGGCUGAGACACGGCCCAGACUCCUACGGGAGGCAGCAGUGGGGAAUAUUGGACAAUGGGGGUAACCCUGAUCCAGCCAUGCCGCGUGUGUGAAGAAGGCCUUAUGGUUGUAAAGCACUUUAAGCGAGGAGGAGGCUCUUUUGGUUAAUACCCAAGAUGAGUGGACGUUACUCGCAGAAUAAGCACCGGCUAACUCUGUGCCAGCCGCCGCCGUAA